rfam:Camelus ferus unplaced genomic scaffold scaffold1793, whole genome shotgun sequence.
GAGGGUACAGCUCAGUGGUAGAGCCAUGCUUAGCAUGCACAAGGUCCUGGGUUCAAUCCUCAGUACCUCCU